rnacentral:piRNA from 1 species
UCCGUUGAUUUCAUGCCUUAA